rnacentral:rRNA from 1 species
ACCGAUAGUGAACCAGUACCGUGAGGGAAAGGCGAAAAGAACCCCGGCGAGGGGAGUGAAAAAGAACCUGAAACCGUGUACGUACAAGCAGUGGGAGCACGCUUAGGCGUGUGACUGCGUACCUUUUGUAUAAUGGGUCAGCGACUUAUAUUCUGUAGCAAGGUUAACCGAAUAGGGGAGCCGAAGGGAAACCGAGUCUUAACUGGGCGUUAAGUUGCAGGGUAUAGACCCGAAACCCGGUGAUCUAGCCAUGGGCAGGUUGAAGGUUGGGUAACACUAACUGGAGGACCGAACCGACUAAUGUUGAAAAAUUAGCGGAUGACUUGUGGCUGGGGGUGAAAGGCCAAUCAAACCGGGAGAUAGCUGGUUCUCCCCGAAAGCUAUUUAGGUAGCGCCUCGUGAAUUCAUCUCCGGGGGUAGAGCACUGUUUCGGCAAGGGGGUCAUCCCGACUUACCAACCCGAUGCAAACUGCGAAUACCGGAGAAUGUUAUCACGGGAGACACACGGCGGGUGCUAACGUCCGUCGUGAAGAGGGAAACAACCCAGACCGCCAGCUAAGGUCCCAAAGUCAUGGUUAAGUGGGAAACGAUGUGGGAAGGCCCAGACAGCCAGGAUGUUGGCUUAGAAGCAGCCAUCAUUUAAAGAAAGCGUAAUAGCUCACUGGUCGAGUCGGCCUGCGCGGAAGAUGUAACGGGGCUAAACCAUGCACCGAAGCUGCGGCAGCGACGCUGAUGCGUUGUUGGGUAGGGGAGCGUUCUGUAAGCCUGCGAAGGUGUGCUGUGAGGCAUGCUGGAGGUAUCAGAAGUGCGAAUGCUGACAUAAGUAACGAUAAAGCGGGUGAAAAGCCCGCUCGCCGGAAGACCAAGGGUUCCUGUCCAACGUUAAUCGGGGCAGGGUGAGUCGACCCCUAAGGCGAGGCCGAAAGGCGUAGUCGAUGGGAAACAGGUUAAUAUUCCUGUACUUGGUGUUACUGCGAAGGGGGGACGGAGAAGGCUAUGUUGGCCGGGCGACGGUUGUCCCGGUUUAAGCGUGUAGGCUGGUUUUCCAGGCAAAUCCGGAAAAUCAAGGCUGAGGCGUGAUGACGAGGCACUGCGGUGCUGAAGCAACAAAUGCCCUGCUUCCAGGAAAAGCCUCUAAGCAUCAGGUAACAUCAAAUCGUACCCCAAACCGACACAGGUGGUCAGGUAGAGAAUACCAAGGCGCUUGAGAGAACUCGGGUGAAGGAACUAGGCAAAAUGGUGCCGUAACUUCGGGAGAAGGCACGCUGAUAUGUAGGUGAAGUCCCUCGCGGAUGGAGCUGAAAUCAGUCGAAGAUACCAGCUGGCUGCAACUGUUUAUUAAAAACACAGCACUGUGCAAACACGAAAGUGGACGUAUACGGUGUGACGCCUGCCCGGUGCCGGAAGGUUAAUUGAUGGGGUUAGCGCAAGCGAAGCUCUUGAUCGAAGCCCCGGUAAACGGCGGCCGUAACUAUAACGGUCCUAAGGUAGCGAAAUUCCUUGUCGGGUAAGUUCCGACCUGCACGAAUGGCGUAAUGAUGGCCAGGCUGUCUCCACCCGAGACUCAGUGAAAUUGAACUCGCUGUGAAGAUGCAGUGUACCCGCGGCAAGACGGAAAGACCCCGUGAACCUUUACUAUAGCUUGACACUGAACAUUGAGCCUUGAUGUGUAGGAUAGGUGGGAGGCUUUGAAGUGUGGACGCCAGUCUGCAUGGAGCCGACCUUGAAAUACCACCCUUUAAUGUUUGAUGUUCUAACGUUGACCCGUAAUCCGGGUUGCGGACAGUGUCUGGUGGGUAGUUUGACUGGGGCGGUCUCCUCCUAAAGAGUAACGGAGGAGCACGAAGGUUGGCUAAUCCUGGUCGGACAUCAGGAGGUUAGUGCAAUGGCAUAAGCCAGCUUGACUGCGAGCGUGACGGCGCGAGCAGGUGCGAAAGCAGGUCAUAGUGAUCCGGUGGUUCUGAAUGGAAGGGCCAUCGCUCAACGGAUAAAAGGUACUCCGGGGAUAACAGGCUGAUACCGCCCAAGAGUUCAUAUCGACGGCGGUGUUUGGCACCUCGAUGUCGGCUCAUCACAUCCUGGGGCUGAAGUAGGUCCCAAGGGUAUGGCUGUUCGCCAUUUAAAGUGGUACGCGAGCUGGGUUUAGAACGUCGUGAGACAGUUCGGUCCCUAUCUGCCGUGGGCGCUGGAGAACUGAGGGGGGCUGCUCCUAGUACGAGAGGACCGGAGUGGACGCAUCACUGGUGUUCGGGUUG